rfam:Paenibacillus swuensis strain DY6, complete genome.
UUUGGUAACAAUGGCGAAGGGGAACCACGCGUACCCAUCUCGAACACGACCGUUAAGCCCUUCAGCGCCGAUGGUACUUGGACCGCAGGGUCCUGGAAGAGUAGGACGUUGCCAAGC